rnacentral:rRNA from 1 species
UGAGUAACCUGCCCUUCACUCUGGGAUAACUCCGGGAAACCGGGGCUAAUGCUGGAUAUGACUCGAACAGGCAUCUGUUUCGGGUGGAAAGAUUUAUUGGUGGAGGAUGGACUCGCGGCCUAUCAGCUUGUUAGUGAGGUAAUGGCUCACCAAGGCGACGACGGGUAGCCGGCCUGAGAGGGCGAUCGGCCACACUGGGACUGAGACACGGCCCAGACCUCCGUACGGGAGNA